rnacentral:telomerase_RNA from 1 species
CAUAAUUCUUUUUCUCUUACUUCAGCCUAAUCUACAGAUAGGUCAUAGCUCAAAUGAUAAGAAUUGGGGAAGCAAAAAAAGAGAAAAAAAAACUCAAACUUUCUCUGUGGAAACUGAUGACAUUGAAUAAGAGAACUUGCAAAAAAAAAAGUUCCUAAAUUAAUUACAUAUAAAUCCAAAUACUUCCACUUUCCAGAUUCAAUAAGUACAAAGGUGAGUAAAAAAUCUAAGUCAGGCUUUUCUAAGCAUUCUAUGAACAGCAUUAUCGAAUCACUAGUUAAUCAAAUUUGAAACGACGUACUCAAUCAGAUGCAAUUCCAGAAACAUGUUAAAUCCUAAAAUCUCACAUAUAAGAAAUUAAUUAUUCAUUAGAGAGAUUAUAUAAACUCACGCUGGAGCUCGGAGGAAUUGGAGACAAAGACCGCCGGGAGCUAGAGGAGAGAGCUCAGCAAAAAACGAAGACAAAAAACCCUUCCAACGACGUUUUGAUUUCUAAAGGUUUUAAUUUUAAUAAUUGAAAUAAAUACGCGUGGAAAUUGAAAAGUCUUAUAAAAAAGGAGCGGGACGACAAGUCAGCUAAAACCCUUACAACAAAGCUAAAAAACGCGACCUUGAAGAAAUUUGUCCGGCGAAAGAA